rnacentral:lncRNA from 1 species
CCCCCGCGUCCGCCUGCCGCCCGGCCCGGCCGCCCAGAGCUCGCCAUUGGGCCUCGCUCCCGGGGUCCCGCGCGCCGGCCGUGCUGAUUGGCCGCUGGGACUUCAUUCACGGCCCCCCUACCGUCCGCUUACAUACUCACGCCCCGGGGGCGCGGCCGCCACGUGGGGAGUGGCGCGGGGGUGGCACUGGGACCGCACCCCCUCUCGUCCUGGCUGCGUGGGCCCCGCUUACCCCUGGUGCAGGAGACUCGGAGCCCGGCAGGUCCCACACUCCACGCGAACUGAAUUCCCGCCCGUCUCCUGCCCGGGCGGCCAAGAGGCGGCGGCGGGGAUUGCGGGCUCCGGGAGGCGCUCAGGCUCCGAGAAGCAGCUCAGCCCCGCGCUCCUCCCUCCGCAGUGCCGCUGCCGGCGGGCCGGGAUUCCCGCGGGUCUCGGCGGCUGCGAGCCGGAGGCGGCGCGGGUCCCGGCUCGGUUCCGGCGCGGCUGCUCACCUCGGCCGCCUUGCCUCCCGCGACUUCAGCCGGCACAGAGCUCUCCUCUGCGCGCCUCCCCGGCCCGUCUCGUUUUCCCUCUUCUCCUUCUAGACCCAGCAUCGCAACUCCGCCGACCUACGCGGCCCCGAGAGCGCGUUGGGUGCGGGUGGAGUCGGACUGGCCCUGGCUUCCCGCCUCGUGCGGGUUCCCCUUCUUCCGGACUCCGCGGACCAGGGAAGCCUGAGCUGGCGGCCAGCCCCGUCCUCCCCCAUCCCCCAGCGCCCGGGACCGGCUGGUGCUCAUUGCUGCUACACUCAGGUCUCCCGCUCCAGGAGCAGCCACGGCAGGUCCCCAAGGGCCUGGAGACAACAAAUGACUCCCCGCUGACGGGUUGCUCGCUGCCUCCUGCCUGCGAGCCCGUUCGGCUGCACACCGCACGCAGAUAAUCAU